CCCGCUGAACUUAAGCAUAUCAAUAAGCGGAGGAAAAGAAACUAACAAGGAUUCCCCUAGUAACUGCGAGUGAAGCGGGAAAAGCUCAAAUUUAAAAUCUGGUGGUCUUUGGCCAUCCGAGUUGUAAUUUAGAGAAGCGUCUUCCGCGCUGGACCGUGCACAAGUCUCCUGGAAUGGAGCGUCGUAGAGGGUGAGAAUCCCGUCUUUGGCACGGAUGCACCAGGGCUUCUGUGAUGCGCUCUCGAAGAGUCGAGUUGUUUGGGAAUGCAGCUCAAAAUGGGUGGUGAACUCCAUCUAAAGCUAAAUAUUGGCGAGAGACCGAUAGCGAACAAGUACCGUGAGGGAAAGAUGAAAAGCACUUUGGAAAGAGAGUUAAACAGUACGUGAAAUUGUUGAAAGGGAAACGUUUGAAGUCAGUCGCGUUGGCCGAGACUCAGCCUUGCUUCCGCUCGGUGCACUUCUCGGUUGACGGGUCAGCAUCAAUUUCGACCGCCGGAUAAAGGUUGAGGGAACGUGACAUCUUUCGAGGUGUGUUAUAGCCCUCGAUUCGCAUACGGCGAUUGGGAUUGAGGAACUCAGCGCGCCUUUAUGGUCGGGGUAGCAACCCACGUAACGCGCUCAGGAUGCUGGCAUAAUGGCUUUAAGCGACCCGUCUUGAAACACGG
rnacentral:rRNA from 1 species